rnacentral:rRNA from 1 species
GACAGAGGUCCCGAGCGUUAGGCGGAAUCACUGGGCUUAAAGCGUGUGUAGGCGGAUCGUUAAGUGCCUUGUGAAAUCCCACGGCUUAACCGUGGAACUGCUGGGCAUACUGGGAGUCUUGAGCCAGCUAGGGGCUACCGGAACAAAUGGUGGAGCGGUGAAAUGCGUAGAUAUCAUUUGGAACGCCAAUGGUGAAAACAGGUAGCUGGGGCUGUGCUGACGCUGAGACACGAAAGCCAGGGGAGCGAACGGG